CUACCCCUGAAAACAGCUAUUUUUUUUAAAGGAAAGCUAGUGGUAGAGUGUUUUCCCAAAGGAAUCCUCACUUCUGGAACUCACUACUCAACCUGAUGUAUAAGGUCUAGAUUUUUGUAAUCAUCCAGAUAUGCUCCAAAUCUCAUCUAUUGGACAUAUUUGAGGAGAAGUUAUAUUGAAGAAAAAUGAUGCUAUGUAGACAGUGGCUAUUUUGUAGGGUGAUUUGGAAGUUCAUAGUAGAAUUCAGCUGUAAUGAGAUGUACAUCCCAGUCCAAUACCUCAACAGUUACCUGUUGAGACAUGUGGAGGCAAACUGUAUUUAGCAGGACUGUAAAACCUGAAGUGAUUAUUUCUGGGGAACACGUACAUUUUACUGUGCACUGUAAAGCAGCUAAUCCUCACAUUCAGCUGCAAAAAUAUUCUUGGUUCACAACAAUCUCCUGUUACCCACUAGAGCAUUGGCAGGAAGAAAUGCUGUGUGUAAUCCAGAAUACCUAUUACCUAAUAAGUUUGAAACUCUACUAUGUUAUAUUGUAAGAAGCACCGUUUGCUUUUUUGCUGCUGCGAUGCAGAGGUUGGGAAAGCAUUUUUUCAUUAGUUAGCAGAAAAUGGUUUAAUAAAAUCAGUAAAUCAAGGAAGAUAGGAUGCGACAGUGUGGUCACCUUCUGUCAAAACGAUUAUGUUGCAAUGCUUGGUAAACAAGUCAUUAUUCUGUGAAUGCAACUUAAUGUAACCUCUGGACCAUAAAUGAUCAAAAUGAUGUAGUAGCAGAGCAUAUUGAUACAAAAUUGUGUGACAAUCUAGCCUGAAUUUCCACAGGUUUGAUUUUUUUUCUUUUUCCCUGGGAGCUGGAAAGUACAAUAGUCUGCAAAUAUGCCCUCUAGCAGCUUGGCACUGUCUUUACUGAUGUGUCACUGGAAAUAAAUGAUGAAAGAACAUGUCUACAGAAUGCUAAUAAUUUUGGGAUUGCAGUGACAGAGGUUAUUUGAGCACAUGGGGGAAUACCAAACUGUUCUAACCCUAAGGAAAAAUGCCAUACAUAUGCUCUCAGUGGGCACUGGGGAAAUCCUACACACAACAGAGGAUACAGAAGGAUGAGAGAAUGGAACUCAGUAAAGGAAAUGGAGUCUGAUCAGUAGCCUUGAAAUUUUCAUUCUCCUUGUCCACAUAGAAGAUGCAGAAGUGGUGUUUUGGGAUUCAUGUGUUCAGACCCUAGGUGUAAAAGGACAUAUUCCAAAGGUAAUUUGUGUAACUUGUCACUGAAUCUGCUACAAUUGAAGGAAAGGGCUCAAAGGAGGAACUGAAGCGUAGAGUCAUGUGGUAGAAGACCUAUUUACCCAAUGAUGUAGCUCUUUAACUUUUAUAUUUCAGGUUCAUGAACUGUUUUUAAUAUGAUAUAUAUGGGACUUGCCUGUGUUAGUGUUUGAAAACUCUUACUCUUGAAGAGUAAGGCUUGUCUUGUUAAGGCACUAGCCUGGUACUUAUCAGCU